rnacentral:rRNA from 1 species
AGCGAACGCUGGCGGCAGGCCUAACACAUGCAAGUCGAACGAACCUUUCGGGGUUAGUGGCGGACGGGUGAGUAACACGUGGGAACGUGCCUUUAGGUUCGGAAUAACUCAGGGAAACUUGUGCUAAUACCGAAUGUGCCCUUCGGGGGAAAGAUUUAUCGCCUUUAGAGCGGCCCGCGUCUGAUUAGCUAGUUGGUUGAGGUAAUGGCUCACCAAGGCGACGAUCAGUAGCUGGUCUGAGAGGAUGAUCAGCCACAUUGGGACUGAGACACGGCCCAAACUCCUACCGGAGGCAGCAAGUGUGAAUGUUGCACAAUGUGCGAAAGCCUGACGCAGCCAUGCCCCGGGAAUUGGGAAGCUGAUAGGAGGGAAAAAGUCUCCCACCGUGGGUGAUAAAGACGUGACCCGCGAGAGAAGCAACGGCGAGCUACGUG